GUGUGUGUUAUACAGUUCGCUAUCCCACUUGGCGAGGUGGCGUGCAAAAGCAGUGUGGUGGUGAGAACAUCAAUAAAGUUCAACAGAAAAGUUCAUCCAAAGUUCAUGCAUCAGUGCAGUGUUUUGGAAAGCAUUGUUUCGAUAUUUGAAGAAUCAGAAAUGCAAAAAAAUAGCAUCAAGGUAGAAGUUCUGCUUGAAAUGCAUUCUUUCA